rnacentral:rRNA from 1 species
UAGGGGAUCUUCGGCAAUGGACGAAAGUCUGACCGAGCAACGCCGCGUGAGUGAAGAAGGUUUUCGGAUCGUAAAACUCUGUUGGUAGAGAAGAACGUUGGUGAGAGUGGAAAGCUCAUCAAGUGACGGUAACUACCCAGAAAGGGACGGCUAACUACGUACCAG